rnacentral:rRNA from 1 species
UGGGGAAUAUUGGACAAUGGGCGAAAGCCUGAUCCAGCCAUGCCGCGUGUGUGAAGAAGGUCUUCGGAUUGUAAAGCACUUUAAGUUGGGAGGAAGGGCAUUAACCUAAUACGUUAGUGUUUUGACGUUACCGACAGAAUAAGCACCGGCUAACUCUGUGCCAGCAGCCGCGGUAAUACAGAGGGUACAAGCGUUAAUCGGAAUUACUGGGCGUAAAGCGCGCGUAGGUGGUUUGUUAAGUUGGAUGUGAAAUCCCCGGGCUCAACCUGGGAACUGCAUUCAAAACUGACUGACUAGAGUAUGGUAGAGGGUGGUGGAAUUUCCUGUGUAGCGGUGAAAUGCGUAGAUAUAGGAAGGAACAACAGUGGCGAAGGCGACCACCUGGACUAAUACUGACACUGAGGUGCGAAAGCGUGGGGAGCAAACA